UACCGCUGCCGUUCCCGCCGUUGGGGCUGGGCGGGGCGGGGAGAGGCGUCGCUUCACGGCCGGGAAAAGCGGGUUUCCCGCUGUUUUCCGAUCGUCUCUGGAGCCGGUUCUCCGCAGUGGCGCCAUGGUGACACCUCGCCGGCUGCCGUAGUUGCGGCUGGCGGCCGUUAUCGCGACAGAGGGGGCGACAUGGGCGGUGCCGGGCGUCCGCACCUGGGGCACUCCGGUGCCCAGCCAGCCCGGCACUAAGUCCUCGGCACUGAGUCCAGCCGCAUAGCCAUAUCGCGACAGGCCCGAUACACUGCUCUGCCUGGCUGCCGGCCCCUCCUCGCCCGAGGCGAGGCUCUGCGCUGAGGAAGAACUUCAUCGGUUCUGUCAUCUAUUCCUUUACAGAUUCUAUUUUAUGUAAAUGGAAUUUAUUACAUCUUUUACUUCUUGGCAACUCUUGCAAUGAUUGUUUAUAAAAGUGAGUAGCAUGUGUUCUAACGCAGAAAUAGGCUGUGUGCUUAAAAUAUGCUUGUGUUUUGUCAAUAUGCCUACUGUAUUUUUGUGGCUUAUUUACCCUGUGUUAUUCUACAGGUCAAGUUUUCAGUUACCCAGAUAAUUUUUUGGCUCCUGAUCUUGCAUUGCUUUUUAUUAUGGCCAUUCUUGAAGCACUCCGAUUAUACUUUGGUUCAAAGGGUAACCUGACAGAAGAAGAGGCUCCAUUAGGGUUCAGUCUUGUGAUCACAGUCGGAAGUGUCAUUCUGUCUGUCUAUUUCCUGGUGUGGCAGACUUACGUACUAAAAGCAGAUGUCAUUUUAA